rnacentral:rRNA from 1 species
AUUGAACGCUGGCGGCAUGCCUUACACAUGCAAGUCGAACGGCAGCGGGGGAGAAGCUUGCUUUUCCUGCCGGCGAGUGGCGAACGGGUGAGUAAUACAUCGGAACGUGCCCUGUAGUGGGGGAUAACUAGUCGAAAGAUUAGCUAAUACCGCUUACGACCUGAGGGUGAAAGGGGGGGACCGCAAGGCCUCAUGCUAUAGGAGCGGCCGAUGUCUGAUUAGCUAGUUGGUGGGGUAAAGGCCUACCAAGGCGACGAUCAGUAGCUGGUCUGAGAGGACGGUCAGCCACACUGGGACUGAGACACGGCCCAGACUCCUACGGGAGGCAGCAGUGGGGAACUUUGGACAAUGGGCGAAAGCCUGAUCCAGCAAUGCCGCGUGUGUGAAGAAGGCCUUCGGGUUGUAAAGCACUUUUGUCCGGAAAGAAAUGGCUCUGGUUAAUACCUGGGGUCGAUGACGGUACCGGAAGAAUAAGGACCGGCUAACUACGUGCCAGCCGCCGCGGUAA